UGUCAUCAUAAACUGAAUACAUAGGUUUAUGAGGGGAACCGCCCGAACUGAAACAUCUAAGUAGGGCGAGGAAAAGAAAUCAACCGAGAUUCCGCGUGUAGUGGCGAGCGAAAGCGGAAGAGGGCAAACCGGUUUGGGAAACUGAACCGGGGUCGGCAGUCAAUAAUCACACAAAUUUUAGUUGAAGUGUAUGGGAAGACACGGCGGAGAGGGUGAGACCCCCGUAAGCGAAAAGAGGAGUGUGAGUGACUGUUCAAGAGUACCGCGGGACACGUGAAACCCCGUGGGAAGAUAGGUGGACCAUCAUCUAACCCUAAAUACUACCCAAUGACCGAUAGCGAACAGUACUGUGAAGGAAAGGUGAAAAGAACCCCGGGAGGGGAGUGAAAUAGAACCUGAAACCUUGCGCUUACAAGCACUUAGAGCACGUUAAUGUGUGAUAAGGUACCUAUUGUAGAAUGGUCCGGCGAGUUAUCGUAACGAGCGAGGUUAAGCACUCAAGGUGCGGAGCCGAAGCGAAAGCGAGCGUUAAAGGCGCGAGUGAGUUUGUUGCGAUAGACCCGAAACCGAGUGACCUAUCCUUGAUCAGGUUGAAGUGGCGGUAAAACGCUAUGGAGGACCGAACCGACCCCCGUUGAAAUGGUGGCGGAUGAAUUGAGGAUAGCGGAGAAAUUCUAAUCGAACUCGGAUAUAGCUGGUUCUCCCCGAAAUAGUUUUAGGACUAGCCUUGUUUUAGAUUACCGGAGGUAAAGCACUGUAUGAGCUAGGGGCCGAAAGGUUACCGAACUCUAACAAACUCUGAAUGCCGGCUAAUCGAUGAACAGGAGUCAGACUGCGAGAGAUAAGUUCCGUAGUCGAAAGGGAAAGAGCCCUGACCUACAGCUAAGGUCCCUAAGUAUAUUUAAGUGGAAAACGAUGUGAAAUUGCGAAGACAACCAGGAUGUUGGCUUAGAAGCAGCCACACAUUUAAAGAGUGCGUAAUAGCUCACUGGUCGAGUGGUUUUGCGCGGAAAAUUUAACGGGGCUAAAAUAUACACCGAAGCUUAGGCUUGUACGCUUUGCGUACAGGGGUAGGGGAGCGUCGUGUUUGGGGUGAAGUCAUACCGUAAGGAAUGGUGGACUGAACACGAGUGAGAAUGCCGGAAUGAGUAGCGAGAAUUAUGUGAGAAUCAUAAUGGUCGAAAAUCUAAGGUUUUUGGAGGAAGGUUCGUCCGCUCCAAGUAAGUCGGAAGCUAAGGUGAGGCGGAAACGCGUAGCUGAUGCACAAACGGUUGAAAUUCCGUUACCGUCGAAAUAUUUAAGAUGAGGGACGCGUUUGAAGUGCUGUUGCCCGGCGAUGGUUGCCCGGGUCGUAAGGGAGCGAAAUUAAGUAGCGAAGUCAGCAUGGAAGGCGACGAGAAAAGCUCAUUGUAUAUAUAAGACGUCCGUACCGCAAACCGACACAGGUAGAUAGGAAGAGGAUUCUAAGACCAACGGGAGAAGGGUAGUUAAGGAACUCGGCAAAAUGUCCCCGUAACUUCGGGAUAAGGGGAGGUGUAUUAUGUACACCCGCAGAGAAUAGUCCCAAGCAACUGUUUACCAAAAACACAGGUCUAUGCUAAAUCGAAAGAUGACGUAUAUGGGCUGACGCCUGCCCGGUGCCGGAAGGUUAAGAGGAGAUGUGCGAGCAUUGAAUCGAAGCCCCGGUAAACGGCGGCCGUAACUAUAACGGUCCUAAGGUAGCGAAAUUCCUUGUCAGGUAAGUUCUGACCCGCACGAAUGGCGUAAUGAUUUGGGAGCUGUCUCGACUGCCCGCCCGGCGAAAUUGUAGUACCGGUGAAGAUGCCGGUUACCCGCGACUAGACGGAAAGACCCCAUGGAGCUUUACUGUAGCUUAAUAUUGGGUUUUGGCGAUGCAUGUACAGGAUAGGUGGGAGGCUGUGAAGCACGGGCGUCAGCUUGUGUGGAGCCAACGUUGGGAUACCACUCUUGUAUCGCCGGAAUUCUAACUUGCGCCCCUGAAUCGGGGCGGAGGACAGUGUUUGGUGGGCAGUUUGACUGGGGCGGUCGCCUCCUAAAGAGUAGCGGAGGCGUUCAAAGGUUGGUUCGGCGCGGACGGAAACCGCGCGUUAGAGUGCAAACGCGAAAACCGGCCUAACUGCGAGACUGACGGGUCGAGCAGUAACGAAAGUUGGAGUUAGUGAUCCGGCGGUAUGUGAAUGGAAAUGCCGUCGCUCAACGGAUAAAAGUUACCCUGGGGAUAACAGGCUGAUCUCCCCCAAGCGUCCACAGCGACGGGGAGGUUUGGCACCUCGAUGUCGGCUCGUCACAUCCUGGGGCUGAAUUCGGUCCCAAGGGUUCGGCUGUUCGCCGAUUAAAGUGGCACGCGAGCUGGGUUCAGAACGUCGUGAGACAGUUCGGUCCCUAUCUGUCGUGGGCGAAGGAUUUUUGAAGGGAGCUGUCCUUAGUACGAGAGGACCGGGAUGGACGAACCUCCGGUGAAUCGGUUGUCACGCCAGUGGCACAGCCGAGAAGCUGAGUUCGGAACGGAUAAACGCUGAAAGCAUCUAAGCGUGAAGCCGGCCCUAAGAUAAGAAAUCCCAUUGUUUAACAAGUAAGACCCCUUGAGGACUACGAGGUUGAUAGGUUGUCGGUGUAAGCGUCGCGAGGCGUUCAGCUUGACAAUACUAAUCGGUCGAGGGCUUAAA
rnacentral:rRNA from 1 species